rnacentral:rRNA from 1 species
UGCAAGUCGAGCGAUGAGGUCUCUUCGGGGGGCACAUCAGCGGCAGACGGGUGAGUAACACGUAGGUAACCUACCCCAGAGAGAGGGAUAACGGGAGGAAACGAGGGCUAAUACCGGAUGACCUCCGGAAGGAGGAAAGGCUCAGGCGCUCUGGGAGGGGCUUGCGGCCCAUCAGCUAGUUGGUAGGGUAAAGGCCUACCAAGGCGAAGACGGGUAAGGGGUGUGAGAGCACGGNCCCCCACAAUGGGACUGAAACACGGCCCAUACUCCUACGGGAGGCAGCAGCAGGGAAUAUUGCACAAUAGGCGAAAGCCUGAUGCAGCGACGCCGCGUGAGUGAAUUAAGGCCUUCGGGUCGUAAAGCUCUUUUGUAGGGGAAGAGGAAGGACGGUACCCUAAGAAGAAGCGUCGGCUAACUACGUGCCAGCAGCCGCGGUAAGACGUAGGACGCGAGCGUUAUCCGGAAUUACUGGGCGUAAAGGGCCAGCAGGCGGCUUGGUAAGUUGUGCGUGAAAGCCUCGUGCUCAACGCGAGGAAGCCGGACAAUACUGUCAAGCUAGAGGGCAUCAGAGGGGAGUGGAAUUCCCGGAGUAGCGGUAAAAUGCGCAGAUAUCGGGAGGAACACCGAUGGCGAAGGCAGCUCCCUGGGAUGCACCUGACGCUAAGAGGCGAAAGCUAGGGGAGCGAACAGGAUUAGAGACCC